UACGUAGGGGGCGAGCGUUGUCCGGAUUUAUUGGGCGUAAAGAGCUCGUAGGCGGCUGUUCGAGUCGGGUGUGAAAUCCUGAGGCUUAACCUUGGGUCUGCAUUCGAUACUGGGCGGCUUGAGUCUGGUAGGGGGAUCUGGAAUUCCUGGUGUAGCGGUGGAAUGCGCAGAUAUCAGGAGGAACACCGGUGGCGAAGGCGGCGACCUGGGUAGAUACUGACGCUGAGGUGCGAAAGCGUGGGGAGCAAACAGG
rnacentral:rRNA from 1 species